ACCAGGUGUAGUGGCACAUACCUGUAACCCAUGCUAGUGGGGAGGCUGAAACUGGAGGAUUUCUUGAGCCUGGGAGUUCUGAGCUUCAGUGGGCUAAGCCAGUUGGGCAUCUGCACUAAGUGAAGAUUAAUAUGGUGAGCUCUUGGGAGUAAGGGGCCAUCAGAUUGCUUAAGGAGGCAGGAACUCGCCCAUGUUGGAAACACAGUAGGUCAAAACUCUCAGACUGAUUAGAGCGGAAUUUAGCCAUGAGUAGCCCCUGUGCUUCCAGCUGGGGUGAGAUAGGAAGACCCAAUUUUAA
ensembl:misc_RNA Metazoa_SRP Metazoan signal recognition particle RNA